rnacentral:rRNA from 2 species
GGACUACUAGGGUUUCUAAUCCUGUUUGAUCCCCACGCUUUCGUGCCUCAGCGUCAGUUACAAUUUAGUGAGCUGCCUUCGCAAUCGGUGUUCUGUGUCAUAUCUAAGCAUUUCACCGCUACAUGACACAUUCCGCCCACCUCAAGUGUACUCAAGACCAUCAGUAUCAAUGGCAAUUCUACAGUUAAGCUGCAGGAUUUCACCACUGACUUAAUAGCCCGCCUACGCACCCUUUAAACCCAAUAAAUCCGGAUAACGCUUGGAUCCUUCGUAUUACCGCGGCUGCUGGCAC